rnacentral:rRNA from 1 species
GGCGAACGGGUGAGUAGAACAUCGGAACGUAUCUUUUAGUGGGGGAUAGCCCGGCGAAAGCCGGAUUAAUACCGCAUGAUCUCUUUGGAGCAAAGCGGGGGAUCGUAAGACCUCGCGCUAUUGGAGCGGCCGAUGCCGGAUUAGCUAGUUGGUAGGGUAAAGGCCUACCAAGGCGACGAUCCGUAGCUGGUCUGAGAGGAUGAUCAGCCACACUGGAACUGAGACACGGUCCAGACUCCUACGGGAGGCAGCAGUGGGGAAUUUUGGACAAUGGGGGAAACCCUGAUCCAGCCAUGCCGCGUGCGGGAAGAAGGCCUUCGGGUUGUAAACCGCUUUCGGACGGAACGAAAUGGUUGAGGCUAAUACCCUCAAUUGAUGACGGUACCGUAAGAAGAAGCACCGGCUAACUACGUGCCAGCAGCCGCGGUAAUACGUAGGGUGCGAGCGUUAAUCGGAAUUACUGGGCGUAAAGCGUGCGCAGGCGGCUCCUUAAGACAGGUGUGAAAUCCCCGGGCUUAACCUGGGAAUGGCGCUUGUGACUGUGGAGCUGGAGUGC